UGGGGAAUAUUGCGCAAUGGGCGAAAGCCUGACGCAGCGACGCCGCGUGGGUGAGGAAGGCCUUCGGGUCGUAAAGCCCUGUCAAAGGGGAAGAAGAAAGUGACGGUACCCUUAAAGGAAGCACCGGCUAACUCCGUGCCAGCAGCCGCGGUAAUACGGAGGGUGCAAGCGUUGUUCGGAAUCAUUGGGCGUAAAGCGAGUGUAGGCGGUAUAUUAAGUCAGAGGUGAAAGCCCUGGGCUCAACCCAGGAAGUGCCUUUGAUACUGGUAUACUUGAGUACGGGAGAGGGUAGCGGAAUUCCAAGUGUAGAGGUGAAAUUCGUAGAUAUUUGGAGGAACACCGGUGGCGAAGGCGGCUACCUGGACCGAUACUGACGCUGAGACUCGAAAGCGUGGGGAGCAAACA
rnacentral:rRNA from 1 species